GGGGUGAGAAGGGAGGCGGAGAUGGAGGGUGUGGCUGGGUUGAUGAAGGGUCUAAAGCUGAUGGAUGAGGAGAAGAAGGGGGUCAAGGUCAAACUCUCGGCGAGGGAGAAGGGGAAGGAUGCGGAACCAAGGGCGGUCGGCAAGGUCAUGUCAGAGAAACUCGCUCAUCCCGAUGCAAUUGGCCUAUCCUUAGGUAAGGUUUGGUGUCCGAGCAAAGGGAUAGGUUGUAUGGAGGUGGGGGAAAACAUGUUCAUCUUUGCGUCCCGCCAAAAAUCGGGGAAGAGGAAGGCGCUAGAGAAUGGUCCCUGGAUGUUUGACAAGGAGCUGGUGGUAGUGGAGGAUUUUGUGCCACCUAGGCGAAUGGAGGACUAUGAAUUUAACACCAUCCCGGUUUGGGUUCGGGUGUAUAGCCUGCCACUUGGAAUGAUGAAUGUGGAGUCAGCAGAG
rnacentral:rRNA from 1 species